rnacentral:rRNA from 1 species
AGCCAUGCAUGUCUAAGUAUAAGCAAUCUAUACCGUGAAACUGCGAAUGGCUCAUUAAAUCAGUUAUCGUUUAUUUGAUAGUACCUUACUACUUGGAUAACCGUGGUAAUUCUAGAGCUAAUACAUGCUAAAAACCUCGACUUCGGGAGGGGUGUAUUUAUUAGAUAAAAAACCAAUGCCCUUCGGGGCUCCUUGGUGAUUCAUAAUAACUUAACGAAUCGCAUGGCCUUGUGCCGGCGAUGGUUCAUUCAAAUUUCUGCCCUAUCAACUUUCGAUGGUAGGAUAGUGGCCUACCAUGGUUUCAACGGGUAACGGGGAAUUAGGGUUCUAUUCCGGAGAGGGAGCCUGAGAAACGGCUACCACAUCCAAGGAAGGCAGCAGGCGCGCAAAUUACCCAAUCCCGACUCGGGGAGGUAGUGACAAUAAAUACUGAUACAGGGCUCUUUUGGGUCUUGUAAUUGGAAUGAGUACAAUUUAAAUCCCUUAACGAGGAACAAUUGGAGGGCAAGUCUGGUGCCAGCAGCCGCGGUAAUUCCAGCUCCAAUAGCGUAUAUUAAAGUUGUUGCAGUUAAAAAGCUCGUAGUUGAACCUUGGGCCUGGCUGGCCGGUCCGCCUCACCGCGUGCACUGGUCCGGCCGGGCCUUUCCUUCUGGGGAGCCGCAUGCCCUUUACUGGGUGUGUCGGGGAACCAGGACUUUUACUUUGAAAAAAUUAGAGUGUUCAAAGCAGGCCUAUGCUCGGAUACAUUAGCAUGGAAUAAUAAAACAGGACGAGCAGUUCUAUUUUGUUGGUUUCUAGGACCGCCGUAAUGAUUAAUAGGGAUAGUCGGGGGCAUCAAUAUUCAAUUGUCAGAGGUGAAAUUCUUGGAUUUAUUGAAGAUUAACUACUGCGAAAGCAUUUGCCAAGGAUGUUUUCAUUAAUCAGUGAACGAAAGUUAGGGGAUCGAAGACGAUCAGAUACCGUCGUAGUCUUAACCAUAAACUAUGCCGACUAGGGAUCGGGCGAUGUUAUUUUUUUGACUCGCUCGGCACCUUACGAGAAAUCAAAGUCUUUGGGUUCU